ensembl:lncRNA
GUGGGGGACGCGGAGCCCCGCGCCGCGGAGAGAAGGGCAGCGCGCGGGAGAAGGCAAAAAAUCCGGCGUUGUUUCCCAACUGCACCCAAAAACCGUCAGAGCCCGAAGCGGCGCGGUGCCGCCUUGGGGGGGUGGGGAGGGGUUGUUAUUAUUAUCAUUAAUUUGCUUGAAUAAAUGCGAAGGGUGCACAAAGCGCUCCGGCCAGCCCGGGCCGCGGCCAACUUUGCGGGCAGCAGUUCGCUCUGCUCUCUAUUAUCUGCACAGCCGUUGAUCUUUUUUUCCCCCGCCAUUCUCUUUCUUCUUUCCUUUUCCCCCCUUUAUUUUUCUUUGCUUUAUUAUUUUUUCCUUUCUUUUUCUUGUUUUCUUUCUUUCUUUUUUUUUUCCUUUUUCUUUUUUGCCCUUAAUUUUAUUUUUGCAAAGGCGGCGUUCUGCCUCGCAAUAAUUACCAAUCGCAGACAGCGCUAUAAAUCCCCUCAUUUUCUGUGCUGGAAAAGCAUUUGCAAAGAGCUGUGGGGUGCAGGAGGGGAAAUAAAAGACAGAAGGAGGGCGGCGGGGCUGCGGGGUGCGCGGAGCCCGGCGCUGUGCAUGGCACAGAGCUCCGCUCGCCGCCGGCUCUCUGCAGGAAACGUAAAAUCUGAUCAAGUUCAGAGGCGCAUUGAGAGCAGCGCUUCAAGCAGCGCUUUAUAACCGCGGCCCUUUCACAUCGUUCCCCCCAAUCAGCCCCCGGGAAAAGCCUUCGCCUUCUUUAUUUUAAGGGUUUGCAGGGAGCGAAAAAAAAAAAAAAAAGAGAGAGAGAGAGAAAAAAAAAAAAACCACCGCUAUAAAAUCUCCCCGAGGUCCCACCGGUGCUCGGUAACGCUCCCAUUGCCCAGGCCACGAUGUUGUGUCACCAGCAGCUAACAGAAGCGAUGCAACUCUGAACUUGGGUCUUGGAAGGGCCUGCUACCAGCCCAGAGUGGAGACAAGAGAACUGUGUCACCCAGAAGGACACAAGCCUGAGGGCAGGCUGGGGCACUGCCAGGGACCGACAUGCCCCACGUCCACCCUGCAAGAGCAAAGUCACCCUUUCCUACCUAACCAAGCAGCCCCCUAUGCAGGCUGGGCAGUGCUCAGAGCAGCCCUGCUGGAGGUUUGGCACUGGCUUUACCUUCCAGCAGGGAACAGAAGGAGAGAGUAAAUUAUGGGUGGAAGGAAGCUCUUAUCGAUGCACAACAGUCUUAGGCACAACUGUGAGGCUGGAAGAUGAAGAAAACUUGGAAUAAAAGAACGUUCUGCUGAAGUAGUUUUUGUUCUGAAGUUCAUCCCAGCUCAAAAAUCCCUUUCUAAGUUAUCACUGAACAAGAAACGUCAAUAGAUUACCAAUAUGUCAAUCAGCCCAGAGUUGUGGAAGGUAAUUUCUAAGCCUGGAAGACAAUAAAUCCAUGCCACAAUCCAUCCAAUCUGCGGUAUAAAUGAACACAUACGACACAUCCAGAGCAACUCCUACAGAAUAACUUGGGGAGGACAUACUGAAUUCUGAAUAUUACUGGCCCAGAUAGUCUUACACCCGUCUAAGGUUACAGCAGAAUCAGAAGGUCCUUGAGAGAUACUUCAGUUUUGACCAGCUAUGGCUGUGGGAUCCCUACUGGUCCCCGCUGAAUAAGGAGAGUUAUCACGUUCAGUCAGCUAUUCAUGAGGAAGGUUUCUUUUCAGGCAGAGAAAGGCAAAUGCCAACACCAGCUUGAGCUUUUGGCCACAGAAAUAACAUGGCCCUUCAGGCUGUUCUGACACACAGCUUGACCUGUCUUCCCAGCAAGCCCAAAGCACUGUCAAUUCCCCUUGGCCAACUCUCUAAUUUGGUAGCAGAGUUGAGACGUAUUUAGCUGAAAUAAGUUUGUCCUCAUCCCUCAGCUGAAGUGGAAAAGUAAAACCCUCA